UUUUUCUAAUAUUAUUUAGAUAUUAUAAUUGGAAUAAAAAAAGAAAUUAUUAUUACAUUAAAAGUUAAAAUGACACUCAUUUUAAAACUAUUUUUAUUUCUUGCAAAUACGACACUCACAAUGAGUGAGAGAUCAAGUAAUAUAAUAUUCAACCACACUUAGAUGAAAUGAUUCAAAUCUCUUUAAACUCAACUAGCGGAUCCUAUGUUUAAAUCCAACAAUAACAUUAGAGGUGUUCUAAAACUCCCUUUAAUAGAGAGUUUUGUCGCCUAUUAUGAUCUUACAUAGACUCAAAAAAUUAUUCUCUAAAAUAAAAUACAUAUAAAAUAAUAAAUAAUAAUAAUAAUCAAAACAGAAAAGUGAGAUUCGAAGAGGGAACAAAAAAGGCAUAAAUAUUUUGUUUUUUGCUUAAAGAAGAGGCAAACCAAAAAGCUUAAAUAAAUUGAAUAAUGGAUAGUCUAUCUAGCUAGUUGCUAUAAUUGUGUGCAUAUCUGAGAAGGAGAUCACUUCAAUUUUUGGGUUAUUGCUAAAGCCGGCUAGAGAAUCAGCAAUGACUCUUCAAGGUAAGUUCAAG
rnacentral:lncRNA from 1 species